AGCGAACGCUGGCGGCAGGCCUAACACAUGCAAGUCGAACGAACUCUUCGGAGUUAGUGGCGGACGGGUGAGUAACACGUGGGAACGUGCCCUUUGGUACGGGAUAACUCAGGGAAACUUGAGCUAAUACCGUAUGUGCCCUUCGGGGGAAAGAUUUAUCGCCAUUGGAGCGGCCCGCGUCUGAUUAGCUAGUUGGUGAGGUAACGGCUCACCAAGGCGACGAUCAGUAGCUGGUCUGAGAGGAUGACCAGCCACAUUGGGACUGAGACACGGCCCAAACUCCUACGGGAGGCAGCAGUGGGGAAUCUUGCGCAAUGGGCGAAAGCCUGACGCAGCCAUGCCGCGUGGAUGAUGAAGGUCUUAGGAUUGUAAAAUCCUUUCACCGGUGAAGAUAAUGACUGUAGCCGGAGAAGAAGCCCCGGCUAACUUCGUGCCAGCCGCCGCUGUAACAC
rnacentral:rRNA from 1 species